ACCCUGGGCCCAGCUCUUUACCAUCCAGGCUGUGUCGAAGGCCGCCAGGAAGCCUCGGGCACAACCCGUCCCCAUUGGCCAGAAGGGCUGCAUGGGAACGCAUAGAAACGAGUGGAACUGUGCAUCAGUGUAAGCAGCAUCUUACAGGAGGAACGUGUGUGAUGUUAGUCACAUUGUCAACGCGACACAACUUGCCUCCUCUCACCUCUAGCAGACUGUCGCCCACCAGCGCUACCAGGAGCUGGUGUCCCGACCGCUCCCUGACCAGGGCGGCGUUCUCAGAGGCGUGCAUGCUCGUGAAGUCAAACAUCGCCACGUCUGGCUGGCCGCAGUGGUUCAUGGCAAAGUCCAGCGUGGGGAGUUGGUAGUUGGUGCCAAAAUCAGCAGCCUCGCGCGCGUAGCACAGAAGAGCUUCCUGGUUGACGUUUUCACUGCACAGCAGCAUCUGGGUGUCUAUGUAGUCCUGUCCAUUAGAAGCAUUACGGUUAAUUAUAUGGUUUAUAGCUGCAGACACUUAAAACAUUGACUUGAAAAAUGCUGAGCUUACGUUAAGGACAACCCCCUUGUCCAGCAGGCUCUGUUUCUUGGCGGUCAUGACAAAGUAAUGUGUGUUGUCCUUGUAGUAGACUAUGUUCUCCAGGUCAAUACCUGAAAAACAAAUAAAAAUGUUCCACAUG